UACAGAGGGGGCAAGCGUUAUUCGGAAUUAUUGGGCGUAAAGGGCGCGUAGGCGGCCUGGCAAGUGGAAGGUGAAAUCCCUCGGCUAACCGAGGAACUGCCUCCCAAACUGCUUGGCUUGAGACCGGGAGAGGUGAGUGGAAUUCCCAGUGUAGCGGUGAAAUGCGUAGAUAUUGGGAGGAACACCAGUGGCGAAGGCGGCUCACUGGACCGGUACUGACGCUGAUGCGCGAAAGCGUGGGGAGCAAACGGGGAUUAAGAA
rnacentral:rRNA from 1 species